GAGCCAGACUCCUACGGGAGGCAGCAGCGGGGAAUAUUGCACAAUGGGGGAAACCCUGAUGCAGCGACGCCGCGUGAGUGAAGAAGUAAUUCGUUAUGUAAAGCUCUAUCAGCAGGGAAGAAAAUGACGGUACCUGAGUAAGAAGCCCCGGCUAACUCCGUGCCAGCAGCCGCGGUAAUACGGAGGAUGCGAGCGUUAUCCGGAUUUAUUGGGUUUAAAGGGUGCGCAGGCGGAAGAUCAAGUCAGCGGUAAAUUUGGGGGGCUCACCCUCUUCGAGCCGUUGAAACUGGUUUUCUUGAGUGAGCGAGAAGUAUGCGGAAUGCGUGGUGUAGCGGUGAAAUGCAUAGAUAUCACGCAGAACUCCGAUUGCGAAGGCAGCAUACCGGCGCUCAACUGACGCUCAUGCACGAAAGUGUGGGUAUCGAACAGGAUUAGAUACCCUGGUAC
rnacentral:rRNA from 1 species